rnacentral:rRNA from 1 species
UACUUAGUGGCAGACGGGUGAGUAACAUGUGGGUAUCUACCCUUUGGCCUGGAAUAACACGAGGAAACUUGUGCUAAUACCGGAUAAGUCCUUACGGAGAAAGCUUUAUGCACCAUUGGAUGAGCCCGCACUUGAUUAGUUUGUUGGUAGGGUAAUGGCCUACCAAGACUAUGAUCAAUAGCUGAUUUGAGAGGAUGAUCAGCCACAUUGGGACUGAGACACGGCCCAAACUCCUACGGGAGGCAGCAGUGGGGAAUCUUGCACAAUGGAGGAAACUCUGAUGCAGCGAUGCCGCGUGAGUGAAGAAGGCCUUUGGGUUGUAAAGCUCUUUCGUCGGGGAAGAAAAUGACUGUACCCGAAUAAGAAGGUCCGGCUAACUUCGUGCCAGCAGCCGCGGUAAUACGAAGGGACCUAGCGUAGUUCGGAAUUACUGGGCUUAAAGAGUUCGUA